GGAUGUGAGGGCGAUCUGGCUGCCACAUCUGUCACCCCAUUGAUUUGGCUGAUCUGGCUGGCUGGGCGUAUGUCCCCUUCCUCCCUCACCACUCCAUGUGUGUCCCUCCCGAAGCUGCACGCUCGGUCGAAGAGGACAGCAUUCCCGGAAUAGAGACGGGCUGGUCUUCCGUCAAGGGUAUACGAGUAGCUGUGCUCCCCUGCUAGAACCUCCAAACAAGCUCUCAUGGUCCAGAAAGGGACUAGAGAGAAACACAAGCCUAGGAAAUCAAAUAUACUUACAUAAAAGAUACUGCAGGUGGUGCACACCUUCAUAC
ensembl:misc_RNA 7SK 7SK RNA